rnacentral:lncRNA from 1 species
AUGUUGUAUGUGUCUUUGUGUGUGUGUUAUUUAAAUAUUUUUCUAAAAGAAAACAUUCAGCUUAUGACUACUGAUGCAAAAUUAUAUUCAUACUCCAGAGAAAGGAAUGUACUUUUAAAGAGCUCAGUAAGUCUAAAAACUAAUAGUAAUAUUAGUAUUCCCUGCCAUAUACUUACACUAGAGAAGGAAUUUUAAUGAAUGAUGAUAAAAUCAAACUAUAGUAAUUAUUUGCUGAAAUAAUGUGAACUUUUAAAAUAUGGAAAGUUAUUUAACUUAUGGUGGAAUCUAUUUACAUAUUGCCUAGUAUUUUUCAUUGUCUAAAUAAAAUAGUUAUUCCUCACAUUUACUUUUUGUAGGACAGAAUUCUCAUUUUAUAGAUGGAAAGCUAAAGCCUGGAUAAGAGCGCAUCCCAAAUUAAACAAAGGCUUGCAGCAUAAUCGGGAAUAUAAUGUACUACUCUACUUUUUUGUUGAAAUUUUCCAGGAUAUACUACAAAGUGAUGUGUGUAUUUUUGUACUGAAUGAAUAAGACAUGAGAUAAAAACUAAAUAAGGGUGCAUGGUUGCUCAGUCAGUUAAGCCUUUGACUUGAUUUCAGCUCAGGUGAUGAUCUCAGGGUAAUCAGAUCGAGGCCGGGGUCCAGGCUACCAACGGGCUCAGUGUAGAGUCGGCUUGCAAUCUGUCUCUUCCUCUGCCUCUCCCUCCCCAAGCGCACGCUCUCUCUCUCUCAAAUAAAUAAAUAAAUCUUUAAAAUUCCUAAAUGAUCAACUACAAUUAAAUAAUUAUUUGACUAUUAGUUUAGUUUGAUUAUUAGGCUAUUAGUUUAGUACCUGGAAAUUAAUUUGGGUAGCUAACAUGGAAAGCAUACAAAUAUUCAUAACUAUUAGUAAUUUAGUAAUCAUAGAAUUGUGGGAUCUGCAGAAGCUAGCUUUUUAACAGUGAUGUUUGGCACAAUAAAAUUGAAACCUAUGAGAAUUAGAUUGCAAACGGAUAUGUAAACUACUGAAAAUGAAACAUCAUUUGUUG